rnacentral:rRNA from 1 species
CCCGCUGAACUUAAGCAUAUCAAUAAGCGGAGGAAAAGAAACUAACAAGGAUUCCCCUAGUAACUGCGAGUGAAGCGGGAAGAGCUCAAAUUUGAAAUCUGGCGGCUUCGCCGUCCGAGUUGUAUUCUGGAGAAGCGUUUUCCGUGCUGGACCGUGUACAAGUCCCUUGGAACAGGGCGUCGUAGAGGGUGAGAAUCCCGUCUUUGACACGGACUGCCAGUGCUCUGUGAUGCGCUCUCGAAGAGUCGAGUUGUUUGGGAAUGCAGCUCAAAAUGGGUGGUAGAAUUCCAUCUAAAGCUAAAUAUUGUCGAGAGACCGAUAGCGAACAAGUACCGUGAGGGAAAGAUGAAAAGCACUUUGGAAAGAGAGUGAAACAGUACGUGAAAUUGUUGAAAGGGAAACGCUUGAAGUCAGUCGCGUCUUCUGGAACUCAACCGUGCUUCUGCUAGGCGCAUUUUCCAGUUUGACGGGUCAGCAUCGGUUUCGGUGGGCAGACAAAGGCGCAGGGAAGGUGGCCGCUCCGGUGGUGUUAUAGCCCUGCGAUGUAUGUCCACGCUGGGACCGAGGAAUCCGGCUCGCGCCUGGGAUGCUGGCGUAAUGGCUCUAAGCGACCCGUCUUGAAACACGG